rnacentral:rRNA from 1 species
AGUGAACGCUGGCGGCAGGCCUAACACAUGCAAGUCGAACGGCAGCACAGGAGAGCUUGCUCUCUGGGUGGCGAGUGGCGGACGGGUGAGGAAUACAUCGGAAUCUACCUUUUCGUGGGGGAUAACGUAGGGAAACUUACGCUAAUACCGCAUACGACCUUAGGGUGAAAGCGGAGGACCUUCGGGCUUCGCGCGGAUAGAUGAGCCGAUGUCGGAUUAGCUAGUUGGCGGGGUAAAGGCCCACCAAGGCGACGGUCCGUAGCUGGUCUGAGAGGAUGAUCAGCCACACUGGAACUGAGACACGGUCCAGACUCCUACGGGAGGCAGCAGUGGGGAAUAUUGGACAAUGGGCGCAAGCCUGAUCCAGCCAUGCCGCGUGGGUGAAGAAGGCCUUCGGGUUGUAAAGCCCUUUUGUUGGGAAAGAAAAGCAGUCGGUUAAUACCCGAUUGUUCUGACGGUACCCAAAGAAUAAGCACCGGCUAACUUCGUGCCAGCAGCCGCAGUAA